UACGGAGGGGGCUAGCGUUGUUCGGAAUUACUGGGCGUAAAGCGCACGUAGGCGGCUUUGUAAGUUAGAGGUGAAAGCCUGGAGCUCAACUCCAGAAUUGCCUUUGAGACUGCGUCGCUCGAAUCCGGGAGAGGCGGGUGGAAUUCCGAGUGUAGAGGUGAAAUUCGUAGAUAUUCGGAAGAACACCAGUGGCGAAGGCGGCCCGCUGGACCGGCAUUGACGCUGAGGUGCGAAAGCGUGGGGAGCAAACAGG
rnacentral:rRNA from 1 species